GAUGAACGCUGGCGGCGUGCCUAAUACAUGCAAGUCGAGCGAACGGACGAGAAGCUUGCUUCUCUGAUGUUAGCGGCGGACGGGUGAGUAACACGUGGAUAACCUACCUAUAAGACUGGGAUAACUUCGGGAAACCGGAGCUAAUACCGGAUGAUAUUUUGAACCGCAUGGUUCAAAAGUGAAAGACGGUCUUGUUGUCACUUAUAGAUGGAUCCGCGCUGCAUUAGCUAGUUGGUAAGGUAACGGCUUACCAAGGCAACGAUGCAUAGCCGACCUGGGAGGGUGAUCGGCCACACUGGAACUGAGACACGGUCCAGACUCCUACGGGAGGCAGCAGUAGGGAAUCUUCCGCAAUGGGCGAAAGCCUGACGGAGCAACGCCGCGUGAGUGAUGAAGGUCUUCGGAUCGUAAAACUCUGUUAUUAGGGAAGAACAUAUGUGUAAGUAACUGUGCACAUCUUGACGGUACCUAAUCAGAAAGCCACGGCUAACUACGUG
rnacentral:rRNA from 1 species